rnacentral:tRNA from 1 species
GGGGCUGUAGCUCAGCUGGGAGAGCACCUGCCUUGCACGCAGGGGGUCGUCGGUUCGAAUCCGAUCAGCUCCA